ACGUUGUUACAGAUAUUUAUUUGAGGCACAGAGAUUGUCAAACUCAAGACACCGGCAUCGUUCCUCCAGCUAUUCCAGAGAGAAGACCAAUCAACAGAUCAAGGUUUGAAAUGCAACCAAUCUACGAAAAUACCGAGAUAACAGAGCAACACAGAUACUGCCUAAAUAUGCAGUGACUUUUUAUACGGUGCAAGGAUCUACACUGUUGUAGAUUCAAAGGCAGAGGGGCAUGACCAAUGUAAUUGCAGAAUUAAUGUUACUAUUGUUGUU